UAGGGACAUAUUUAAAUAUAAAAUGAAAAUUCUAUUGUUAUACUAAAUUGAUGAAAAUAUAAGGUAGUUGAGUUAGGGACAUAUAUGAAAAUAAAAUGAAAACUCUAUUAUUUUACUAAAUUAUUAAAAAAGUAAGGGGUGUAAAUCAUUUUUUCUAAACUAGACCGGGCUACGGCCCGGUCUAGCCCACGUGCAGGUCCGCCACUGGCUGUUGUUUACUUGUCGUACUCAAAUGCGUUAAGAGAAAGAAAGCUAAAGUAUACACGCAAUAAUUCUAUUACGAUGGCAAAACGCCGAAAGUAAAAGCAACUACAAAGGUGGUCUCCCGAGUUUAAAAUCAUGAUAAAGAAUCAAGCAUGAAGAAAUCCAGCUUCUAAGCUAUAACUAUGCAUGCAUUUACAUGUGAACGUAGAGCUAGCAAUUGCAAUCUACACAUUUCCUUCGCAAUUCCAACUGGAGGUGGGAACGCAGCUCAUGUAGUGACACCAUCUGCAACGAUCAUUACCAUUCUCUCCCCGGAAGAGCAUCACCAGUGCAACUGUUAAUCUGCAAUUAAGCCAGAAUAAUAAUUAAACCACUCAGUAGUCAGUACCCGGAACUUUAAAAUGGCUUCGUUCGCAACCUUUCUCUUGCAGAUAUCAUCUUCCAAUACCAAAUGAUUAAAAAUAAUUUUACACGGGGUCUCUACAUUCUGAUUGCCAAGAACUGGGAGUCGGGACAAUGAAUUCAUGGCCCACAACUUCUAUAACGAGGCAUUAUGAGAUACAAUUAUGUUCCCCUUUUCCUCAGCAAUCAUAAUCUGCCUAGGACCCCGGCAAACCACUUCAGAAUUUCAUAAAAUCAUUACUUAUAUAUAAUUUGUAUUGUGCUGUUGGUAUUCAGAUGAUGCUUUCUCCUAUGAAAAUGCAAUUAUUAGGAGUCACUCACCCUGCAAUUAGUAGAACCAGAGAGACCAGCCAUAACACGUAUUGAUGUGUCUUAUACUUGGAUUUUAUGGCGGCACUUCCAGGAAGGUUCCUGCCAUCAAGCCAUCCGUACCGAGGACGGGGCAACAAGACAAAACCAAGGAAGAACCCAGUGAGAAAUCCACCAAUGUGAGCGAAAUUAUCAACAUGCGGCAGAAUUCCUAUAGCGAGAUUAAUUGCAAUGAUGACCAAAAGAGUAAUCAAGGCUGCAGCCUACAAAACAACAUCAUCUAAAGGAGUAAGCAUGAAAAACUGUGUAUCCCAACCUACAGCACAAGAACUAGCAAUAAUAGUAGUAUAAGCAAAGUAAAAUGUGCAGACAACAGCUGGCCUCACUCACCUUGUUGGUAUAAAGACUCCAGUUAGUAAGUAGUUCUGAAAGCAUUGCUCCCAGAAGCCCAAAAAGUGCACCGGAGGCACCAACAGAGAUGCUGUUUCGAAUAAAUAGGCAGGAAAGAACACUCCCACCGAAUCCAGAUAACAGGUAAAUAACUCCAAUCCGCACUGUCCCAUCGUAACAAGAGACGUCAAAUAGACUAAAUUAAGCUCAAAAAUUAAAAACUGCUGUACCGUACAUCCGCCUUGGCCGUACAGCAGCUAAAUUACUCGACUUAAUAAAUUAAAUAAUUAAAAUUUAUUCAUCCUUUCAAAUUGUAAAAGUAUUUUUAGUCAAAAGUUUCAAUAAAUAAACUAAACUCAAUUCAGCAAAAAGAUAUUUGGGUACAGUUGUUUCUUUGUCAGAUACUCUAUCUUUCUUUAAAGAACUAGAAGUUGGUGAUUCUUCUAUUAAAAGCUCUUAAAAUAUCCAAAUUUUAUUUUCUAACUUGUUCUCUUAGUUAAUAUAACUAAUAAAUAAAAUCUGAAAAUUCACAUUAAAAUUUUAUGAAAAUAUUGAUAAUUGCUAAUAUAUCUUAUUUAUGUAAGUAUUUUUAAGUCUAGUGAUGAUGUUAUAUUAUAUUGACAUAUAUAUUUUUUAAUUAGAAGCUUUUUAAAAUAAAUUAAGGCAGCAAUAAAAUUUUAACACCCUAAUGUUUUCAAUCUAUUCAAUAAAUAUAUAAGUUAAUCAUUUUAUAAAAUAAGUCACUAAUUUCAAUUGAAAAUAAUAUAAUUGACUUAGGGACAUAUUUAUAAAUAAAAUAAAAACUUUAUUAUUAUAUAAAAUUAAUGAAAAUAUAUGGGUAAUUGAGUUAGGGACAUAUUUAAAUAUAAAAUGAAAAUUCUAUUGUUAUACUAAAUUGAUGAAAAUAUAAACAUAUAUAUUUUUUAAUUAGAAGCUUUUUAAAAUAAAUUAAGGCAGCAAUAAAAUUUUAACACCCUAAUGUUUUCAAUCUAUUCAAUAAAUAUAUAAGUUAAUCAUUUUAUAAAAUAAGUCACUAAUUUCAAUUGAAAAUAAUAUAAUUGACUUAGGGACAUAUUUAUAAAUAAAAUAAAAACUUUAUUAUUAUAUAAAAUUAAUGAAAAUAUAUGGGUAAUUGAGUUAGGGACAUAUUUAAAUAUAAAAUGAAAAUUCUAUUGUUAUACUAAAUUGAUGAAAAUAUAAGGUAGUUGAGUUAGGGACAUAUAUGAAAAUAAAAUGAAAACUCUAUUAUUUUACUAAAUUAUUAAAAAAGUAAGGGGUGUAAAUCAUUUUUUCUAAACUAGACCGGGCUACGGCCCGGUCUAGCCCACGUGCAGGUCCGCCACUGGCUGUUGUUUACUUGUCGUACUCAAAUGCGUUAAGAGAAAGAAAGCUAAAGUAUACACGCAAUAAUUCUAUUACGAUGGCAAAACGCCGAAAGUAAAAGCAACUACAAAGGUGGUCUCCCGAGUUUAAAAUCAUGAUAAAGAAUCAAGCAUGAAGAAAUCCAGCUUCUAAGCUAUAACUAUGCAUGCAUUUACAUGUGAACGUAGAGCUAGCAAUUGCAAUCUACACAUUUCCUUCGCAAUUCCAACUGGAGGUGGGAACGCAGCUCAUGUAGUGACACCAUCUGCAACGAUCAUUACCAUUCUCUCCCCGGAAGAGCAUCACCAGUGCAACUGUUAAUCUGCAAUUAAGCCAGAAUAAUAAUUAAACCACUCAGUAGUCAGUACCCGGAACUUUAAAAUGGCUUCGUUCGCAACCUUUCUCUUGCAGAUAUCAUCUUCCAAUACCAAAUGAUUAAAAAUAAUUUUACACGGGGUCUCUACAUUCUGAUUGCCAAGAACUGGGAGUCGGGACAAUGAAUUCAUGGCCCACAACUUCUAUAACGAGGCAUUAUGAGAUACAAUUAUGUUCCCCUUUUCCUCAGCAAUCAUAAUCUGCCUAGGACCCCGGCAAACCACUUCAGAAUUUCAUAAAAUCAUUACUUAUAUAUAAUUUGUAUUGUGCUGUUGGUAUUCAGAUGAUGCUUUCUCCUAUGAAAAUGCAAUUAUUAGGAGUCACUCACCCUGCAAUUAGUAGAACCAGAGAGACCAGCCAUAACACGUAUUGAUGUGUCUUAUACUUGGAUUUUAUGGCGGCACUUCCAGGAAGGUUCCUGCCAUCAAGCCAUCCGUACCGAGGACGGGGCAACAAGACAAAACCAAGGAAGAACCCAGUGAGAAAUCCACCAAUGUGAGCGAAAUUAUCAACAUGCGGCAGAAUUCCUAUAGCGAGAUUAAUUGCAAUGAUGACCAAAAGAGUAAUCAAGGCUGCAGCCUACAAAACAACAUCAUCUAAAGGAGUAAGCAUGAAAAACUGUGUAUCCCAACCUACAGCACAAGAACUAGCAAUAAUAGUAGUAUAAGCAAAGUAAAAUGUGCAGACAACAGCUGGCCUCACUCACCUUGUUGGUAUAAAGACUCCAGUUAGUAAGUAGUUCUGAAAGCAUUGCUCCCAGAAGCCCAAAAAGUGCACCGGAGGCACCAACAGAGAUGCUGUUUCGAAUAAAUAGGCAGGAAAGAACACUCCCACCGAAUCCAGAUAACAGGUAAAUAACUCCAAUCCGCACUGUCCCAUCGUAACAAGAGACGUCAAAUAGACUAAAUUAAGCUCAAAAAUUAAAAAAAAAAAAUUAAUCAUUUGCAUUUUAAAUAGCAUGAAAGAGCAACAUACCGAACCCAAAUUGCUGUUCAAGGCGAAUACCAAUGAAAACCAGGCAUAGCAUGUUUACGAGGAGAUGAAUAAUACCGGCGUGCAACCAGAUACAAGUGAUAAGCCUCCAUCCUUGAUGUUUUUGCACCACUUUGGUCCAUUCAAGACCACCCAAUUUCUCCAAUCUUCAAAACAAGGAAAAGAAUAUAUUCAAUUACUUUCUUUCUCGGCCACGAAUGGAAAGCAAAAUAAUGGCAUAUAGAAAAAGAAGAACCUCCAAAUAACUCAAAGCUCCAUCUUUCUCACCAGAUCCACCAACUUUUCACCCACAAAGCAAUGAAUCAAUGAAAGCAUAAAAUAUCAAGACACUGAUAACCUCAAAUUAUAACCAAAUAACGACUUACUUUUAGACUGGAAUUCAAUUAGCAAACAAGUAUCUAAUAUUAACGCCAAAGGCUACCAGGUUUCAUUUUCCAAAAACAAAACCUCUAGACACAUAGUUAAGUUUACGAUUCGGGCACCUAAAUACCAUAACCAGAGUUAGUUUGACAACAGAACACUUGAUUAAUCAAAGAUCAAUGAAAUUAACACAUCAAGUUACCAUAAUUCAUUCCAAAUUAACCUCUAUAUACAAAUUCCCAAAAUAAUAAACACGAAAGCAUCAACACAACGAGCAAACAAAGUUCUACCAAAUUUCAUCAGCAAAUAAAAAUAAAACCAGGAAACGAAAUGGGUAAUGAAAAAUAAAA
rnacentral:lncRNA from 1 species